GGGGCAGGGGGCGGGGGGCGGCCGCCGGGGCAGCGCAGCAGCGCAGCGCCGGUGUUCCCUUCGGAACACCGCGCAAAGUGAUCGAGUGCUUUUCCUCCACUUUCCCUCACUUCGCGCCCCACCCGGCUGUCCCGACCACCCUCAGGAUGUUUUCCUCUGGUGUGCCUCUGGGCCAAAUCGUGCUAAAAAUCAUUUUUUUUCUUUUAUGCAAGGACACUUUGUCACUUGGUUUCCGUCAGUCUCCUGAGAAUGGGGAAUUUAGGUCUAGCGUGGUUCACAGUUCUGGUUUUUUAGGAGUUAUACUUGAAAGCUCAAUGUCGGACACAUAGCAUGAAAUCCGUCACUGGUGCUUUGCAUUUGUCUUGGAAAGGACAUACGCCCCGCCUGUCCCUUUUACUAACUAGGGAGACUGUGAAUAUUCCCAAGCCCAGCACCACGUGCACACGCCGCCAGCUGGCUCGCGCGUUUUCCACGGAGCCCUCUGGAGGGGAGGGAGCGCGGUUCGGACUAGCCUCUCCCGAACACCAAGUGCCGCUCUUAGCCCCGUCCAGCCCGCCCUGUUCAUCGGGGGCCUCGCCGCGCCAGUCGCCCCGGCUGCCUUAUGUAGGUAUGCGCGGCGGGCGCGUGACGUGGGCGCGGGGCCGUGGGCGGCCGCCGCCGCGAGUGCGCACGCUCCGCGCAGACGUGCCUCGGCGCCGCUGGCACUAGGGCCUCGUGGAACGAAUGCACAUUCCAGGGAUCCGGGGUCUACGGCCAGCGCGGCCGCGUCACAGCGCAGGCUCCACCCCCUUCGGCGAGUCUGGGCGUCGAGGCGCCGCCCCCGGGCCCGAACUUGGACUCGAG
rnacentral:lncRNA from 1 species